rnacentral:rRNA from 1 species
GAUGAACGCUAGCGGCAGGCUUAACACAUGCAAGUCGAGGGGUAGAGGAAGCUUGCUUCCUUGAGACCGGCGCACGGGUGCGUAACGCGUAUACAAUCUACCUUUUACAGAGGGAUAGCCCCAGAGAAAUUUGGAUUAAUACCUCAUAGUAUUUUCGAAUCGCAUGGUUUGAUUAUUAAAGUUCCAACGGUAAAAGAUGAGUAUGCGUCCCAUUAGCUAGAUGGUAAGGUAACGGCUUACCAUGGCAAUGAUGGGUAGGGGUCCUGAGAGGGAGAUCCCCCACACUGGUACUGAGACACGGACCAGACUCUUACGGGAGGGCAGCAGUGAGGAAUAUUGGAC